ACGAACGCUGGCGGCGUGCCUAAUACAUGCAAGUAGAACGCUGAAGGAGGAGCUUGCUUCUCUGGAUGAGUUGCGAACGGGUGAGUAACGCGUAGGUAACCUGCCUGGUAGCGGGGGAUAACUAUUGGAAACGAUAGCUAAUACCGCAUAAUAGUAGAUGUUGCAUGACAUUUGCUUAAAAGGUGCAAUUGCAUCACUACCAGAUGGACCUGCGUUGUAUUAGCUAGUUGGUGGGGUAACGGCUCACCAAGGCGACGAUACAUAGCCGACCUGAGAGGGUGAUCGGCCACACUGGGACUGAGACACGGCCCAGACUCCUACGGGAGGCAGCAGUAGGGAAUCUUCGGCAAUGGACGGAAUUCUGACCGAGCAACGCCGCGUGAGUGAAGAAGGUUUUCGGAUCGUAAAGCUCUGUUGUAAGAGAAGAACGAGUGUGAGAGUGGAAAGUUCACACUGUGACGGUAUCUUACCAGAAAGGGACGGCUAACUACGUG
rnacentral:rRNA from 1 species